rnacentral:rRNA from 1 species
CAGUCGCCGCGGUAAUACGUAGGUCCCGAGCGUUGUCCGGAUUUAUUGGGCGUAAAGCGAGCGCAGGCGGUUAGAAAAGUCUGAAGUGAAAGGCAGUGGCUCAACCAUUGUAGGCUUUGGAAACUGUUUAACUUGAGUGCAGAAGGGGAGAGUGGAAUUCCAUGUGUAGCGGUGAAAUGCGUAGAUAUAUGGAGGAACACCGGUGGCGAAAGCGGCUCUCUGGUCUGUAACUGACGCUGAGGCUCGAAAGCGUGGGGAGCGAACAGGAUUAGAUACCCCAGUAGUCCCUGUCUCUUAUACA